rnacentral:rRNA from 1 species
CCUACGGGUGGCAGCAGUGAGGAAUAUUGGUCAAUGGACGAGAGUCUGAACCAGCCAAGUAGCGUGAAGGAUGACUGCCCUCUGGGUUGUAAACUUCUUUUAUAAAGGAAUAAAACGAGGCAGGUGAGCCGUUUUGAAUGUACUUUAUGAAUAUGGAACGGCUAACUUCGUUCCAGCAGACGCGGUACUAAGGAGGAUUCGAGCGUUGUCCGGAUUUAUUGGGGUUAAAGGGACCGUAGAUGGGUUGUUAAGUCAGUGGUGAAAGUUUUGGGCUCAACCGUAGAAUGGCAAUUGAUACUGGCAGUCUUGAGUGCAGUAGAGGUAGGUGGAAUUCGAGGUGUAGCGGUGAAAUGCUUAGAUAUCGCGAAGAACCCCGAUGGCGAAGGCAGCUUACUAAACUGUGACUGACGUUGAUGCUCGAAAGUGUGGGUAGCAAACAGGAUUAGAUACCCGAGUAGUC